UGGGGAAUAUUGCACAAUGGGCGCAAGCCUGAUGCAGCCAUGCCGCGUGUAUGAAGAAGGCCUUCGGGUUGUAAAGUACUUUCAGCGGGGAGGAAGGCGAUAAGGUUAAUAACCUUGUCGAUUGACGUUACCCGCAGAAGAAGCACCGGCUAACUCCGUGCCAGCAGCCGCGGUAAUACGGAGGGUGCAAGCGUUAAUCGGAAUUACUGGGCGUACAGCGCACGCAGGCGGUCUGUCAAGUCGGAUGUGAAAUCCCCGGGCUCAACCUGGGAACUGCAUUCGAAACUGGCAGGCUAGAGUCUUGUAGAGGGGGGUAGAAUUCCAGGUGUAGCGGUGAAAUGCGUAGAGAUCUGGAGGAAUACCGGUGGCGAAGGCGGCCCCCUGGACAAAGACUGACGCUCAGGUGCGAAAGCGUGGGGAGCAAACA
rnacentral:rRNA from 1 species